CACUGAGGAGGUGGCAUUUGAGCACCCAAAGUGGGCUAAAAAGAGUCAGUCACAUGACUAUGUGAGGGAAGAGCAUUCCAGGCAGAGGGAACAGCCCGUGCAAAGCACUGAACAUUGUUACCUGAAAUAAGCGCCUCGAAAUGGAACUUCAGUGACGUCAAAAAUGUUAUCUCCGUUUUUGAAGUGCGGAAAUGGACUUGAAACUGAGAGAUGAAUUGUCUCACCCAAGCUGACAAGAGCUCUGGAUUCGAACCCAAGACUCCUGUCUGCAGAUCCAGAUGGGUGAGGAGCCACAUGAGAGGAGAGGAGAUUGCAAUUUCUGCCGGAACUUUCUCACAUCCCCGUGUCUGAGGCGAGAAAGUGGCAGAGAGGAGGGGAGAGGCGAGUGAGAGAAGAAA
ensembl:lncRNA